UACGAAGGGGGCUAGCGUUGCUCGGAAUCACUGGGCGUAAAGCGCACGUAGGCGGCUUUUUAAGUCAGGGGUGAAAUCCUGGAGCUCAACUCCAGAACUGCCUUUGAUACUGAGAAGCUUGAGUCCGGGAGAGGUGAGUGGAACUGCGAGUGUAGAGGUGAAAUUCGUAGAUAUUCGCAAGAACACCAGUGGCGAAGGCGGCUCACUGGCCCGGUACUGACGCUGAGGUGCGAAAGCGUGGGGAGCAAACAGGGAUUAAGAA
rnacentral:rRNA from 1 species